AACAUCUAAGUACCCCGAGGAAAAGAAAUCAACCGAGAUUCCCUCAGUAGCGGCGAGCGAACGGGGAUUAGCCCUUAAGCAUCUUGGAAGUUAGUGGAACGGUCCUGGAAAGGCCGGCGAUACAGGGUGAUAGCCCCGUACACGAAAACAACCUUGAUGUGAAAUCGAGUAGGGCGGGACACGUGACAUCCUGUCUGAAUAUGGGGGGACCAUCCUCCAAGGCUAAAUACUCCUGACUGACCGAUAGUGAACCAGUACCGUGAGGGAAAGGCGAAAAGAACCCCUGUGAGGGGAGUGAAAUAGAACCUGAAACCGUGUACGUACAAGCAGUGGGAGCCCUUCGGGGUGACUGCGUACCUUUUGUAUAAUGGGUCAGCGACUUACAUUUUGUAGCGAGGUUAACCGUAUAGGGGAGCCGUAGGGAAACCGAGUCUUAACUGGGCGUCUAGUUGCAAGGUGUAGACCCGAAACCGGGUGAUCUAGCCAUGGGCAGGUUGAAGGUUGAGUAACAUCAACUGGAGGACCGAACCCACUAACGUUGCAAAGUUAGGGGAUGACCUGUGGCUGGGGGUGAAAGGCCAAUCAAACUCGGAGAUAGCUGGUUCUCCCCGAAAGCUAUUUAGGUAGCGCCUCGGACGAAUACUACUGGGGGUAGAGCACUGUUUGGGCUAGGGGGUCAUCCCGACUUACCAACCCCAUGCAAACUCCGAAUACCAGUAAGUAAUAUCCGGGAGACACACGGCGGGUGCUAACGUCCGUCGUGAAGAGGGAAACAACCCAGACCGCCGGCUAAGGUCCCAAAGUUCUGGUUAAGUGGGAAACGAUGUGGGAAGGCUCAGACAGCUAGGAUGUUGGCUUAGAAGCAGCCAUCAUUUAAAGAAAGCGUAAUAGCUCACUAGUCGAGUCGGCCUGCGCGGAAGAUGUAACGGGGCUCAAACCAGGCACCGAAGCCGCGGAUUCACGCUAAGCGUGAGUGGUAGGGGAGCGUUCUGUAAGUCUGCGAAGGUGUGUCGAGAGGCAUGCUGGAGAUAUCAGAAGUGCGAAUGCUGACGUAAGUAACGAUAAAGGGGGUGAAAAGCCUCCUCGCCGGAAGACCAAGGGUUCCUGUCCAACGUUAAUCGGGGCAGGGUGAGUCGACCCCUAAGGUGAGGCCGAAAGGCGUAAUCGAUGGGAAGCAGGUUAA
rnacentral:rRNA from 1 species